CCUACGGGAGGCAGCAGUAGGGAAUAUUGCUCAAUGGGGGAAACCCUGAAGCAGCAACGCCGCGUGGAGGAUGAAGGUUUUCGGAUUGUAAACUCCUUUUUAUAGAGAAGUUAAUUACUGUAUCUAACGAAUAAGCACUGGCUAACUCCUUUCCAGCAGCCGCGGUAAUACGGAGGAUGCAAGCGUUACGCGGAAUCACUGGGCGUAAAGCGCGCGUAGGUGGUAUAGCAAGUCAGAUGUGAAAUCCUAUGGCUUAACCAUAGAACUGCAUUUGAAACUGUUAUUCUAGAGUAUGGGAGAGGUAGGUGGAAUUCUUGGUGUAGGGGUAAAAUGCGUAGAGAUCAAGAGGAAUACUCAUUGCGAAGGCAUCUCACGGAUCCGCGACUGACGCUGAGGCACGAAAGCGUGGGUAUCAAACAGGAUUAGAUACCCCUGUAGUC
rnacentral:rRNA from 1 species